CUUCCUCUACCUCUCCCUACUCCUUCUCUUCUUCUUUCUCUACCUCUCCCUACUCCUUCACGCUCCUCCACCUCCUCUCUUCUUCCUCUCCCUACUCCUUCUCUUCUUCUUUCUCUUCCUCUCCCUCCUCCUUUCCUUCCUCGUUUUCAUUAAAUUUAAUUGUAUAUUAAAUUUAAUGAAUAUGAGGUUCACGGGGCGCAUUACAGUGGUGGCAUGGUGGCAUACAUGUUUUUUUGAUUUAGAUUUAUCAUACAAGAAUUCUUUAAUUCUUCCAUAGGAUGUGAUACAUUUUCUGCAAGAUUCUCACACAUUUUCCUGGAGUUUUUUUUUUCCCAUCUCCAAGGUCUGAUGACCCCGGGAUUCAAACCGAAAGAAGGAUGAGAAGAAGACCCCACAGAUGAGGCCCAGCUCCAGCAGACACGUGAAGACGAGGAACCGAGCCCACCAGAGACGACCUUAGAGACGCCAACCAGCCUGCGAUGAGACAACAGGACAACUGUACAAGGAACAGAAUGCACUGCUGCUUCCUGGACACCAAAUGAUUUCAACAGGGAUGGAACAUCGAGGAGAAAUAAGUCAUUUUGAAGAAAAGAUGAUGGGAAACAUGUCCAGGACCAGUGCAUGAGAUGUGAGACCAGUCAACUAAUACAAAAGCUCUCUCUCCAAGACACCUGAUAAAAUGUAGAAUCAGAUCAAGACAAGAAACCCGAUAAGGAGCAGCCCCAGCAUGUGAACUCAGACUACGGAAGAGGGGAUGCUUAUUAUAGCGACAUAAAAGGAGGAAGUCGGAGCACAAAGAGAAAACCCCACAGAGACACAGAGAGAACAUGGACAGAAAGAACCAGAUGAGCAGCAGAAGACAAAGAAACAGUUCGAGGAGCCUCAGGACGAUCAACAACAGAAGAAAGCUGUCAGAGAACAGGAAGAAGAUGACCAACAGCAUCAACCAGAGAAGAAGAAGAGAAGCUCCAGAUUACUCCAAAGGUAUCUCUGGAGCUGGCCUCACCGACCUGCAAAGACUUCAUGCUCCUUCCUUCCUCUGUACCCUCAUCCCAAAUGGAGGUUUUUUUCAACUUCCUGGCAACAGGAAGUUUUUUUCCUCCACACUGCUAUCAAAUGCUUAAUGUGAUCAAACUACAAUAAGAGAUGGAGGUUUUUUUCAACUUCCUGGCAACAGGAAGUUUUUUUCCUCCACACUGCUACCAAAUGCUUGAUCUGAUCAAACUUCAAUAAGAGAGACUAAAAUAAAAAGUCAAAACAA